rnacentral:rRNA from 1 species
GAUGAACGCUGGCGGCGCGCCUAAUACAUGCAAGUCGAGCGAACAGAUAAGGAGCUUGCUCCUUUGACGUUAGCGGCGGACGGGUGAGUAACACGUGGAUAACCUACCUAUAAGGCUGGGAUAACUUCGGGAAACCGGAGCUAAUACCGGAUAACAUAUUGAACCGCAUGGUUCAAUAGUGAAAGGCGGCUUUGCUGUCACUUAUAGAUGGAUCCGCGCCGUAUUAGCUAGUUGGUAAGGUAACGGCUUACCAAGGCAACGAUACGUAGCCGACCUGAGAGGGUGAUCCGCCACAACGGAACUGAGACACGGUUCAGACUCCUACGGGAGGCAGCAGUAGGGAAUCUUCCGCAAUGGGCGAAAGCCUGACGGAGCAACGCCGCGUGAGUGAUGAAGGUCUUCGGAUCGUAAAACUCUGUUAUCAGGGAAGAACAAAUGUGUAAGUAACUGUGCACAUCUUGACGGUACCUGAUCAGAAAGCCACGGCUAACUACGUG